ensembl:lncRNA LINC00092 long intergenic non-protein coding RNA 92
AGACCUAGGCUCUCGCAGAGAACUGCAUCGCGCUCCCAGCUCUGCUGCCUCGGUGCGGGGACGGGGCUCUGCAUGAGGACUGGGAAUAGACCUUCACUGCUUCUAUCAGUCACCAUAUCUGAAUCUUGGCUUGCCACUCAAUCCUCCAAUAUCGACCAACAACAGGAGAUUCUCUCUAUCUGAGGGGGGAGGUGUGUUUCCCUGACUAGACUCUAAAUACAAAUCCUCCACUUCUCCAUCUGUCUCUCCAGUGAUCUCAGAGGCAUGGUCUUAACACCGCGCACAGUUCCUUGCAAGUUGAAGAGUAGACCCAAAUGAUCAGUUCUAAAAUUCUAUUCUUAUUGAAGAUUACUGGUGGAAAUAUCAAUGCAAACAAAAUGAAAAAGUUCAACAAUGAUUAAUACUGCAUUUCAACAGAAGAAUCAAAUCAUCUUGACAAAACUUCAAUGGGCAAAAUUUGCCUUGGGGAAUUUUAUGCAGGGGAAUCCUUGGGUCUGAUGUGUGGUGGGCUUUGGAUGUGUUGUGUAGCUCAGUGUCCCUUCCUGCUACUCCUAGUCAUCUCCAGAAACUCAGACCACCCAUCUACUAAAGGCAGGUGGAUGAGCAAGGGGGCCUCGGAGGCAUUCCGGAUCACACUGAACCUGAGCCCCACCGCCUGACCCACUCAGUGUCACUGUUAACAGAAACUCGCUGCCAUCUGGCCUCAGGCCUGCCUCCUUCCUAUAGAACUUGACACUGGAAGCACCAGGCGAGCUGGACCUUCUGCUGCUACUGCACUCCCAUGAUGCAGCCUGAGAAUGAAGCCCACCAGAGUGACAGAGAGCAGACCUGAGUGGUGAGCUGGUGACACAGGGUGUGGGUGGUGUCCCUUGAGCUUCGACACCACGCCACACCUGAAACCAGCCUGACAUCCAUGAUUUUGCUUUUUUGCUUAAACCAGUCUGCGUCAUUUUCAACAAAAGAGUUCUACUAGAUAUGACAAAUUUCUCUAGAAGACCUAAGAAGUGAAAGACUUGAAGCUAUUCCAGUGGUUCAGGAACUAGGACACUGGUAGGAAACUGGAAAGAAGGCAUCAGAGUUAAGGAAAUAUUUAUGAGGUCAACUCUGGAAGUCUUGGUUACUGAGUGAAUACAGUGGCUGAGAGGAAUGGAAGCAUCCAACCAAAUAAAAAAAGAUGGUGCUGAGAUUUGGGUUAUGAGGUCAAUGACUGAAGCAAUGCGAUUAACUGAGUUAGGAGUCUCAAAUAUAGGAUGAGUGCAGAGUUGAGGAUGAAGAAUUCUGCUUUGGACACAAUGAGUGUGAGGUGCCCAAGGAUAACCCAACGGGAAGCAGUCACACCAAAGCAACAGGGUGUGCACCUGAAACUCAGAAGGGUGAUUGGGCUAUGGUGAAGAUUCCUGAUCACCCAUAAAUGAAUUCAUUAAAAGCAUGAGAGUGAGUGGAGGGGCCCCUAGAAUAUGGUGGGUGCAUGAGACUAACCCUAGAUUGGGGAUAGCUCCCUGGGAAAUCCAAGGGACAAGGUGAGGAGGAGGAGGCGGAGCCCACCAAGGAAACUAGAAAGAGACCGCUGGAGAGGUCCGAGGACAGCAAGGAGCACAGCCUUCAAGUCUGGGAGCCAACUAUCCAAGAAGAGAGUGGUUUGCUAUGGAUGCCGUGGGCCACCACGUCCCAUCUAGGAAAGCAAGUUGAGGUCUCUCUUGAAUACAUUGGGAUUGAUUACCCAGACUUUAAAGAAUCUAUGUCCCCUACUUCCCUUCAUUCACUCUGCUCUUUACCUUCUCCUCUUCCCUGGUCACCAGCACCUCUGCUAAAGGGUGGAGAAAGGAACUUCUGAUCAGUUACAGAAAAGCUUUGGGGUUACGUGGUGCAAGCUGCUCUGCCUCUGUUUGUGAAGAAAUUAGACUAUGGCCAGCCAUGUGAGUGGCAUCACUUUGGUUUCUGGAGCAAUAGUUAGUAGCAACUUUUAGAGGUGGUCAUUUCGGUUCCCUUCUGGAAAGUGAUUCGUGUUUAAGAAAAAUAGAUGCAACGUUGCUAAGUACACCUAACAUUUAAACAGUCUCCAGCAGAUAAAUGCUGAUACUGACACUUCUCACCAGAAAAAGAGAAAUACCCAUCAUGAGGAAGAGAAAUGACUUUUGUUCAGUUAUGCUCCCGGGUCCCCUUUCACUGGAGGGAUAUCUCAGCUUUCUGAGCCCCUGGUUACUGCAAUCCUCGGUUCCAGAACCCAGCAAUUCCUAUCAUCACAAUUGUUUCAAGUCUUAUCCAAGCCCUGUAUAUUUCAGAUCAUCCUUAAUUUCUUGUUCUGUACCCAGAGGAGAUCAGGAAAACCUUUAAGUCUCUAUGUGAGGCAAAUACAUCCUCCUCACUGCCCCAGCCCCAUGUGAUUGAUGAAGCAACUGAGGAAGAGAAGUAGGGUGCUUCUGGCACUGGAGGAGCGCAGUGCUGAGAAACUCCGGGCUCCAUUCGGAAAUAGCACUGAUUUCUUAGUGUACUUUUUUUUGGUGUUAAUAUAGAAAACAUCAAAAACACAGUUAAAAGAAUGAAGCAUGUCUACAUACGUGUGGCCAGAAAGACUGACCAGAAGCUGGUAGCAGUGAGGGAUGACAGUGCUUGCCCCUGGGUUGAAUAGUGGAAGAGUUAGGGGGGAAACAGUCUGCUCUUUGAGACCCUUUCAAUUUCAUGUGAUGGAUUUACAGAGACAGAUGAAUUAAACAUUAUAUAAAAAAGGAAUAAAACCACUGGUAGGAUCUGUAUUCCAGGAAGAAAAAAGCAUAUUACAUAAU